AUUUAUAUAGUUUAAUAAAAACCUUACACUUUCACUGUAAAAAUAAAAUUAUGUUUUUAUAAAUA
rnacentral:tRNA from 1 species